GUGAAUCAUCAAAUCUUUGAACGCAAAUUGCACUCUCUUCUGUGAGGAUGCCUGUUUGUGGUUCAGUAUUAAUAAAAAUAGGAAUGUUGCGUCUUUGUGACGUUCCGGAGUUUGGCGCAUCUUAAUAUCCUUUAGGUUUUAAGAGGCUUAAAAUUGAAUUUUUUUGCGCAUUUUAGAUGUACAUUAAUUCUUUUUGUUAUUCGUCUGUCUUAAUGCGCAAAAUCCUAGUAGAUGCGAACAUAUCGUGAUGUUUCGUGUCUAUAAAUGUUUCAUGAUUUGAUCUCAAAUCAUUUAGUAGUAU
rnacentral:misc_RNA from 1 species